rnacentral:lncRNA from 1 species
ACUUCGCCGCUGCCUUUCGUCGGGGCCGCGAGCGGGGCGACGGCCGCCCAGCGCCCCUGGCACCCCUGAUCUCCAGCCGGGGCUCCCGGCCCGCGCCUUGGUGGCUGGAGGCCCAGGAUGAGCCUCGAUGGCGAGAGGCCCAGGAUGCGCCACCAGGCCGGGCUCACUUCUUUGACGCCGAAUAAACUGACAAAACAAUUAGCUGGCCGGCUGGGGAAGGUGGUGGGUGACUCAAAUGCCAGUCGGCUGCGUGCCCCCGCGCUUAGAUGAGUCUGGGAUUCUGGGCAGUUGGGACUUUCUUUUCAGGAAAGGAGGUGAGAGGUGCCGGGGAAGCCCACACGAGCAGCCACUCUUGGAGAAAUGGGGAAUGGCGCUGUAAAAGCGCAGGCCCUCCUCCUCCUCCUUUCUCCCCAUCACACAAAAAGGAUGGGCCUUGAAAGGGAUGAGUUUAUUAUGCACUUUUAAAUGCCUAUUCAGAAAAGAACAGGAGGCAAAAAUAAAGAUGCUUCCCACCCCACCAAUUCCCUUCCCUCGAAGAAAAAAGGAAAGAGAAAGCAACCCACAAAGGUAAGCUGGGUAUUUCAGAUUUUGUGUCUUUUUUUUUUUUUUUGGAAUCAAAAUAACAUUUUCCAGUUUGCCACUUACAUUUUCGAGUGUAUUUUUCUCAGGGCUAACUCUAGGGGUAAUAAAAUCUCUGGAAGCUAUUAUGCCCAUAUACGUUUUAAGCAGGAGUUUGUGAAAGCAACUUUGCUGAGUGCAAACUUGAGACGAUGAAACUGAAAAUACUUUGAAAAACACACUAUCCUGUUCCAAUGGAAAUGCUGCACUUUACCAGCUCUCUAGGACAAAGUUGUCUCAGGAAAAUGAAAUUGUUGAUAAACCAUAGUUCCAGACUGUUACUUCACAGCCCUCAGAUUGCAAUCAAUCGUAGCCCGGGCCUAACAGGACUGACUCCAGCUUUUCAUUUGUUUAUAGUGUGUGCAAUGUUUUAUGCUUCAAAUGCACCAUGUCAACUAUGCAAAAUGAUGCAUAAUUUUUGUUUGCAUCCUGGAUCCACCUCCACAAUGGUUUUUGUUUAAAAUAAAGGUCAUGAUUGUUUCCCAUUAUUACAGAAUGGAAACCGAUCCUAGACAUCUGUGAAACGUAUCUUAAAAAUUCCACUACUGAGUUGGGAAAAGCAGAGAGUUCAUGUUUACUUCAUUGGCGAAGUCCAGUUGAAUCUACUUAACUCGACCAGCUUUAAUCCAAUCUAAUAAACCAUGAGCUUGUUCCUGUGUCAAAAAAAAAAAAAAAAAAAAAAGCCAAUAUGCUGCCCUGAGCCUGUGAAAGUUGUCAGAAACAAAAUGGAGUCACUUGUGUUAAAAAAUUAAUUAAUUAAUUAAUUAAAAGAACCCUGACAAAUAUAGCUGCAGAAGGCUAUGAAAAAAAAGGUUCUCAUGCAUAAAUGCCUGAUAACAAAAACUAUCACAAAAGACCCUGCAAAAACCACAGUCCUUGCUCAAAAAUGAUUACAACCUUACACAAAAAAUACUUCAGCAAGAACAUCCGCCCAGUGACUGCCUAUCCAACCUUCGACUGGCAUCACCCUUGCUAUUGUUAUGGGUCUUCAUAGCCAAGGAUAAUUAUCUCAAAACAAUGAUAUAAUCCUCAUUUUUCCUUUAAAAGCCUUUGUCUUUCUUUACCUCCCUGCAUGCCUGUAGUUUACUAUGGCAUGUGUAUUCCCAUUCCAAUGCUCUGUUCCCAAAUAAAUGUAAUUUCCUUUUAGACAGCCUCUCUCUGUUAGUUACUUAGGCUGAUAGCCCCAAAUUCCAUCUUUCGCAUUGCCAUGUCAUCAAAUAAACCUGUGAUUUUCUUGUUUUUGCUAAGCAAAUGGCUUGUGUUGUGGUUAGUGUCUCUAGUGUAACAAUCACUUUGUGUUUCCCUGACUCUCCUAAGUACAAAGAAAUAGGAACCCCCGCACUUUAUGUGGGAAAAAAACAGAGACUGAAAAAUUAAUUAACUGCCCACUCUCACAUGGGUCUACCACCAUCUUCCAGGUCUUUCUUUCCAGACCUGUGGUCUCUCCCCACCUCCAGCCUCUUAUGGAGAGCAAAGGAAGGAAAUGGGAACAGGACUCAACAGCAACAUUCCAGGAAAAUGAAUAGAAUGUGGGAACGGUUCGAAAUGAUAAAUCCAGGUGAUAGAACGAGUUUCAAAGAGCAAGAGCCUGAUGGUAAUAGGGAAGCCAGGGGAACGGCAGAGGUUGUGCAGAAGACGACUCUGGCAAAAUAAGGACUGUGGAGAGAAAGUAAGUGGCUUUUAAGAUCUUAAACAUGGGGUCAAAAUUAUACCAUGAGAAGAAAGAAAAAGUCCCUGGGAGUGUUUGUAGACAGACCAAAGGACAGAACGUGAAGAAGGGCCUAUGAGAGAAUUGGUAUCCGGAAGAUUGUUUAUGUGCAACACUUCUGAGGAAUAAAGGGUGAUAAACUGUCUCGUGAGAAUGAACUACUGGAAGGACGGAGAGACACAAGGAAUGGCUGCAGUCAAGGUGAAAUGUAGGCCGUUGUGAGAGUUUCAUCCCAGGGCAUGAUGAGAAUGCCAGGGCCUGAUGCGUGUCAACGGUGCUUCAUCUGCUCAGAGAGUGUCCUAAAACCAGUCAGACCCUAGAUGUAGAAGUAUGCCACCCAAUGUCACCUAGCAGUUCAAUGCCAGGGAGAGAAAAUUCAGGCUUUCUUAUCCCCCUUCUAGUGCAAGCCCAUGGAAUAUGCCACUUUCCUAGUUAGGAUUUGGAAUUGGUCAUUGGGAAGGGCUCCGAAGAGAAACUCUGAGAAUUGUUGAUUUCCAUUUCAAAUCCCCCUAAUGCAUAAAAUAAGAAUGUGUUCUGCGGUGUUCCUCAGCUUAUUAACUUUUAUAAAAGAAAGGAAUGAUCUUUGUUGUUACUUGAAAACAGCCACAUUUGGAAAGGUCUACGCUACCCAAAUGUAAUAAAAAUAAAUUUUAGUUCAAUUGGUCAGUCUUGAAAGCUAAUUGAACAGUCAUGCUUUGUUCUAAUUAUUCCUGGCUACCAUUAAAGUGAUGG